AUGGAGACGCUAAUGGCGGCCGAGCUGCCGCAGCAGAAGGCGGGGGGCCUCGCGCGCAGGUUUGCGAGGCUCCUCCGCCGCAAGCGCUCGCCGGCGGGGUCGGGCGGGGCGUAUUCUGUGGCCCGCGAUGUGUACGACGAGUCCCUUGACAGCUCCAUCAACUCGCUCAGCAAGCUCAAGCUCUCUGGGAGCGUCUAUAUGGAGAGCGUAAGCGACAUGGACGGGGAAGACGGUGCCGGCAUGGCACUGGCUCUGGCCGGGAACCGCGUCGUCGGGUUCACCGUUGUGCCGGGGUUCAUAGUCGGGCGGUCAUGGCAGACAUUCCAGGCGGCGGCAUGGUCGCCGGCCGGCAGCUGGAUGGACACGAAUCAAAUUCAGAAACUAUACACCCUAAUGCAGAAAAAUCAAAAGUAUCACCCUGUCGGCUUCAUGUUGGCCGAAGAGAGACUUUUCGGCCAACCGUUGGCCAAAAAGGACUUUUCGGCCAACAGUUGA
rnacentral:rRNA from 1 species